AAAAGGGUGAACCCGUCUCUGUGGCAAAAGAGUGGGAAGACCUUACAAUAGCGGUGAAAAGCCAACCGAGCCUGGUGAUAGCUGGUUGCUCAACAAACGAAUUUAAGUUCGACUUUAGGCCAACCUCGUUAAAAUAAAAACCUUUGACCUAAAAGCUACUCAAUGAAGGUACAACUCCACUGAGUCAGGAUACAACCUAAACUAGAGAGAAAGAAGCUCCCUUUAACCAGUAGGCCUUAAAGCCGCCACCAAGAACAAAAGCGUCACAGCACUAGUAAAGUCAAAUAACACAAAUAUAAUCGAUCUCCUAGAAAAUUACUGAGCCAAACUAUAAUAAUAGUUGAACUAAUGCUAAGACUAGUAACAAGAAACAUUCUCUCAGCACCCCUGUAACCCAGAAAUAGAAAAACUACUGGACCUUAACAGACCAAAACAGGUACAACAUACCAAAUGUACUAUUAACUGUUGAACCAACACUGGAGUGCCACCCAGACAGAUUAAAAGUUAUUUAAGGAACUCAGCAAAACUUGUCCCAACUGUUUACCAAAAACAUAGCCUUUAGCAAUACAAGUAUUAAAGGUCCCGCCUGCCCAGUG
rnacentral:rRNA from 1 species